UACGUAGGGGGCAAGCGUUGUCCGGAAUCAUUGGGCGUAAAGAGCGUGUAGGCGGCCCGGUAAGUCCGCCGUGAAAGUCCAGGGCUCAACCCUGGAAUGCCGGUGGAAACUGCCGGGCUGGAGUCCGGAAGAGGCGAGUGGAAUUCCUGGUGUAGCGGUGAAAUGCGCAGAUAUCAGGAGGAACACCAAUGGCGAAGGCAGCUCGCUGGGCUGACACUGACGCUCAUGCACGAAAGCGUGGGGAGCAAACAGG
rnacentral:rRNA from 1 species